rnacentral:rRNA from 1 species
UACAGAGGGUGCAAGCGUUAAUCGGAAUGACUGGGCGUAAAGGGCGCGUAGGCGGUUAGAUAAGUUAGAUGUGAAAUCCCUGGGCUUAACCUAGGAACUGCAUUUGAUACUAUUUAGCUAGAGUAGGGUAGAGGGAAGUGGAAUUUCCGGUGUAGCGGUGAAAUGCGUAGAUAUCGGAAGGAACACCAGUGGCGAAGGCGGCUUUCUGGACCUAUACUGACGCUGAGGCGCGAAAGCGUGGGGAGCAAACAGG